rnacentral:lncRNA from 1 species
CUUAAAGGAGGUAACACAGGUAUUUCCAGUAAAUAUAAACCAUACUUUAGUAUAUACAUCCAUGAUGAGUUGACCUUUUUUGGAAGCCAGGGUCCAGAAAAGCUGUCCUAUCAGUCCUAUCCUCUACUGGACAAGGGAGAAAAGAAUACAAUAAUAAAGCUUUUGGGUUAAGAUAAGGACAGAGAAAGAUCAUCCAGCAGCUACUAUCAUGGGCAAGAGAGAUUUGGACCAGGUAAAUAUAUUUAUUACCAAUCAAACCAGAGGAAAAAAAUCAAAAAACAAAUCUUAAAAUAUCUCCUCUCUACUUCUCAUUUCUUCCCGGGCUCAACUUCACUUCCAAUUUGUCUACCUCCUCCUUCCAGUGGUAAAAGAAGAUGGGCAACAGAGGCUGUUGAUCAGUUCAUCUCACGUUCAAUCUGCUGCUCCUUCCUUCUCACUUUUUCUCUGUUCCAGUAUCAGGUUCUUCCCAUGGGAUACAGUCCUCCAUUAACUUCUCCAGCAUGAGUCAUUUUCAUAGGCUGCUGUUCCUCAUUAACUGCUCUAGCACCGAUUCCCCACGGGGUCACAAGUCCUGUCAGCAAACCUGCUCCAGCAUGGGCUCCUCUCUCCACAGGACCAUGGGUCUUGCCAGGGUCCUGCUCCACAAUGGACUUCCCAUCCAAGGAAGGGUCCCAAGGAGGGGUCAUAACCUCCUUCAGGCAUCCACCUGCUCCAGGAUGUGUUCUUUCAUAGGCUGCAGGUAAAUCUCUGCUCCCCUGUGGUUCUGUAUUGGCUGCAUGAGGACAACCUUCUUUGCCAUGGUCUUCACCAUGAGCUGCAGGAGAAACUCCACUCUGCUGCCUGGAGUAGCUCCUCGCCCUUCUUCUUCACUGGCUUUGGUGUCUGCAGAAUUGUUGAUUUCACAUAUUCUCACUCUCUGUUCCAGCUGCAGCUGCAGUUUCUUCCCCUUUCUUUCAUACAUACGUUAUUCUAGAGGUACUGCUGCUGCCACUGGUGGGAUGAACUUGGUCAGCUGCAGGAACCAGUCAAAACUUGCUCUGUCCAACUUGGGACCAGCUUCUGGAACCCUUCUGCUACCAAAGCCUUGCCACACAACCCAAAUACAGUAUAAAUUUUUGGAUAAAAGAAAAUAUUGAAAGGAAGCCAAAUUUCCUGACUCCAAAGUUCAGCAAAAAAAAAGUCUGUCAAAUGAGGGAUGUGCUUCUUUGUCUUAUUCUAAGAUUUUACACUGAUAUUUAUAAUACUGUUGAUGAAACAAUAUUAACAUCAUGAGUUUGGGAGUCUUAUCAGAAGCUGCACAAGGUG